ensembl:lncRNA
GGGCGCUGUGCCCAGAAGGAAGCAGGCAGUGCUUCUCAUACAUGUGCUGGGGGUGAAAUGAUGAUAGAAUUCACUGAGGCAUGCAGUUUCACUUUCUACAGGGCAAUACGAGCAUCCUCUCUGCCCCAGUUUGCCAUGAACAGACUCUUACACAAGAACCAGACUUCUAUUCCAUGAGGGAACUAGAAUGGAAAAAAUAUUGAAAACAAUUUUACUCCUGAAGAGAAGUUUUUUUUCUAUCAGAGGCUCAAUAGACAUUUGGAUCCUGUUUUGGAACUUACCAUAGGAGGAAUUAUUACUGAGAGCUUCAGAGAACUAUUAAAUCACAAGAGCUUCAGGAAAAAAUAGAAAAGAAAAAGAAAAAAAGAAGUCUAAGAACCCAAACAAUCCAUCAAAAUGGAGAAGAGUACUGUAUUCUGUCCUUCUGCAAAAAGACCAUGUGCAUCUUUACUGAAAUUCAUACAAAAACACCAUCAGAGAUAUCCCUACUUCAUCUAACAGGUCUCUGGGACUCAGUCAUUUCUAAAGCAUUUUUGGAUUGUUUUCUUUAAUAUAGUGCAAAGGUUUUUUGUUUUGUUAGAAGAUAUAAGACAAAGCUUUCACUUGUGAGUUGCAUCUGGAUGAAACAAGUCAUGAUAUGUUUAAAUAAAUAAACAAAUGAAGACUUAUCUGCUGAUAUAAUGACAUUUGUCAAGGUGCACAUUUGACUUCUAACAGAUUUUUUGAACUUUUCUUAAAUUU